UUCUGUACUUAAGAUAACUAUUGAAAGACCCCAGAGCAGGGAGGCCCUCACUCAAGUCUCAGGAUGAUGCGAUCCCCCAAGAAAUCACGUAAGGCU
rnacentral:pre_miRNA from 14 species